rnacentral:tRNA from 3 species
CGCGGGGUGGAGAAGCAGUAUCUCGAGAGGCUCAUAACCUCUAGACCCGGGUGCGAUUCCCGGCCCCGCAA